AGCAGUGGACGUUGAUUUGUCAUUUAAAUGUCUAAAUUUUUGUACUUCAUGAUACAUUCUGAAACUAAAUAAUAAUCAACGACAUGAGGCAGUAUUCAAAACGUUAUGGUUCUCUUAAUUUUGAUCAUAUCUUAGAAGACAAUUUAGCGAUUAAUAAAAAUUUUAGAGGAUUUUAUACAGCCAAGAAAACAGACAAUAAGCUGGGAUGUUUGGAUGUUCCUAAAAAUAUUUUUUUGGAAUCAGAUGAUGAUAGCGUUUCUAAUACCAAACUAGCAAUUUGUCAAAGAAAUUCUGAACCUUUUGAUGACCAAAACAUUUUUGAUGAUUUUUGGGACUACGAGUAUAAAAAUUCACCAUGUAAAAUGAUAAUGAAUGGUGAUAAUUACGAAAUUAAUUCGGAUUUUGAUCAACUUAAAACGUUAUUUAUUAGACAAGAAAGUAUUACAGAAAAAAUAAAAUGUAGAAAACGCUUAUUAAAAAAGUUGUCAAAUGGAGAAUAUGGUAAAGGUUGUAAUGAUAACACAAGCCUAUUUAAAAAUCAACUGAAUCGAUCGUCGUUACCAGUUAUACAAAAUGUUCGUGAACAUCUAGUGCCUAUUUAUCUUGAAAAAUCGUGCAGUUCUACCACUGUUGGUGAUAGCAGGAGUGAAGAUGUUGAUGAAGAAAAAUCAUUUCAGUUUAUUGAAGACUUCCUGUUACAAAAUAAUAAGAAAAUGAUAGAAUUUAUGGUUUCUAGUGGUAGUAAAUGUAAAAGGAGUAGACUUGACGAUUUUCCUAAUUUAAAAAUGAAUUCGUGGAAGAUAGCCGAUCAACAAGUUAACCUUGAUAAAAAGGUAAAAUCUCUUGAAUUCUGUUAUGGUACUUGUCUUCCAUCUUUAUCAGGGCCAGACAAAGGUGGGGGGGAGUUAGAGUGCUACGAAUACUACGCAUCGGACCCCCGCAACA